rnacentral:rRNA from 1 species
ACCAGCGGAGGGAUCAUUACCGAGUUUACAACUCCCAAACCCCUGUGAACAUACCUAUACGUUGCCUCGGCGGAUCAGCCCGCGCCCCGUAAAACGGGACGGCCCGCCCGAGGACCCCUAAACUCUGUUUUUAGUGGAACUUCUGAGUAAAACAAACAAAUAAAUCAAAACUUUCAACAACGGAUCUCUUGGUUCUGGCAUCGAUGAAGAACGCAGCAAAAUGCGAUAAGUAAUGUGAAUUGCAGAAUUCAGUGAAUCAUCGAAUCUUUGAACGCACAUUGCGCCCGCCAGUAUUCUGGCGGGCAUGCCUGUUCGAGCGUCAUUUCAACCCUCAAGCUCAGCUUGGUGUUGGGACUCGCGGUAACCCGCGUUCCCCAAAUCGAUUGGCGGUCACGUCGAGCUUCCAUAGCGUAGUAAUCAUACACCUCGUUACUGGUAAUCGUCGCGGCCACGCCGUAAAACCCCAACUU